AUUUUAAGUCUGACCUGCCCAAUGAUUAAUUUUAAAUGGCUGCGGUAAUUUGACCGUACAAAGGUAGCAUAAUCAUUAGUUUUUUAAUUAAAAGCUUGUAUGAAAGGUUUGAUGAAAAAAUGGCUGUCUCUAUUUGAUUUUUUUAGAAUUUUAUUUUUAAGUAAAAAAGCUUAAAUAUAUAUAAAAGACGAGAAGACCCUUUAGAGUUUUAUAAUUUAAUAAAUAAAUAAAAAUUUAGAAUUAUAAUAUUUAUUUUUGAGAAUUAUUUAAUUGGGGUGAUUUAAAAAUUUAUUUAACUUUUUAUUUUUUUUAAUCAUUAAUUUAUGAAUAAGUGAUCCUUUUUUAAAGAUUAUAAGAUAAAAUUACCUAAGGGAUAACAGCGUAAUUAUUUUUUARAGUUCAUAUUAAAAAAAUAGAUUGCGACCUCGAUGUUGGAUUAAAGAAAAUUAUUGGUGUARAAGCUAAUAAAUUAGGUCUGUUCGACCUUUAAAACUUUACAUGAUCUGAGUUUAAACCGGUGUGAGCCAGGUCGGU
rnacentral:rRNA from 1 species